UCAGGGUGUAGUUUAACUGGUAGAACGUUGGUCUUUGGAUCCAAAAACAGAGGUUCGAGUCCUUUCACCCGAA
rnacentral:tRNA from 1 species